GAGCGAUUUUUGGAAAUUUUGGGAGUUCAACGCAGUUCGACAGGUCUUUAUUUUAUUGGUUUUACUUGUGUACCGUUAUAGCCCUGUGUAUUUGUCUGGCAAAUACAUCAGAGAGAAAAUGUCAGAAGCCCUGCUAAGGUUCUUUUAGUGCUGCUGCAGUCAAACACCGGCGCAGACCUUAUAGAAAAAAACUCUGUAACCAAUAGGGUUUUUUGUUCCUAUAACCUCUUGUUUUAAAACGAUUUAACACUUGUAAGCUACUGUAUGACCUUGAAGCAAAUGGCGAAAUGG